rnacentral:lncRNA from 1 species
GCAAAUCUUUUAUUUAGUCGGAGAUAGCGGUACAUCAUGAGCACUCUGGCAAUAACCAACUCAUCACAAACAUGUGACGAUUACGACAACACAUCAUGCACACACACACAACGAAAUCCUUACGCACGCAGGUAACAGUGCGUGCUUGUACGUACGUAGAACCUGGAGAAGUAGUACGUAGUUUCUCCGCAAUCGAAAUCCAGCCACACAUAAAAACCAGCAGAUGAUUAAGAAAUUAAAGCACACAACAAGUACGUAGUGGUACUUCAAAUAGCCAGUCAUGCAUGCAUGCGUGCGUGCAUGAGGUAUGGCGGAUGCAGGGUCCGGCCGGCUCAGUUGGGGCACUGGAAGCCGGAGGGGACGUUCUUGCCGCAGUUGUUGAGGACGAGGCUGAGGGCGAUGGGCAAGGUCAGGUUGAUGCCCAGAAGGUUGAGGUUCAGCGUCGUGCAGAGGCACAGCGCCGCCUCGAGGUCCGCCAGCCCCUGGAUCAGCGAGCAGCACGGCUGCACCGGCGGGCUCCCCAGGGUAAGGUUCAGCAGCCCGAGCACGUUCGCGCACACCCCCAGCUUCAGCGCGUCCAGAGGGCACUGGGUGCUGUUUCCGCCCCCACCGUUGCCGCCGCCACCAUUGCCACCGCCACCGUUUCCGCCGCCACCAUUCCCACCGCCACCGUUUCCGCCGCCACCGUUCCCNNNN